GCUCCUUAUUUUUCCCUGUGUUGCUACGCUACGUGCUGAACUUGGAUGUGAACUGUAGUUUAUCAACGGGAGAUAGUUUUGGCAGAAAAUCGGGCGGCCAUUUCCUUCACGUGACAAUAAGAUGUCCGGUCAUCGGUGCUCCGGCAUUAAGAGUGAACUGAGACGUUACUGUCGCAUGUGGCCUGGACUGUUGGAAACACUGGCAUCGUCAGAUCGCCUCGGAAAGAUGUUAAAGCCAGG